CCAAAGUAGAUGGUUUAGUAAACUUUGAGAAGUUAAGAAUGAUUUCCAAGGAAAUCCGCCAAGUUGUUCGAAUGACUUCUGCUAACAUGGACCCAGCUAUGAUGUUUCGACAGAGGAAGAAGAGGUGGCGGAGUCUGGGGUCACUGAGUCAAGGAAGCACAAAUUCAAACAUGCUGGAUGUUCAGGGAGGUGCUCACAAAAAAAGGGCACGCCGCAGCUCUCUGCUUAAUGCCAAGAAGCUAUAUGAGGAUGCCCAAAUGGCAAGGAAGGUGAAGCAGUAUCUUUCCAGUCUGGAUGUAGAGACAGAUGAGGAGAAGUUCCAGAUGAUGUCAUUACAGUGGGAGCCUGCAUAUGGUACCUUGACCAAGAAUUUAAGUGAGAAAAGAUCAGCCAAAUCAUUUGAAAUGUCUCCAGUGCCUAUGAGGUCAGCUGGCCAAACAACUAAAGCCCACUUGCAUCAACCCCACAGAGUAAGCCAGGUGCUUCAGGUGCCAGCUGUUAAUUUGCACCCCAUCAGGAAGAAGGGACCAACAAAAGACCCUGCACUGAGUGAGUAUUCACCGUUAAUAUUACAUCCGUUUACCUGAAAUUUCCAGGGGAGUUAGAGUGAAAAAUAAUUACAGAUGUU
rnacentral:lncRNA from 1 species